UAAUAUUCGAUUUAUCCGCUAGAGGAUUAAAUCUUUUAUUCAAAUCUUACAACUUAACAUUUUUUAUUAUAACACCCCAGUAGGGCCUCAAAAAGAGUUGUCAGGGGAGACAACUUACACUUGAAUAUGUCAUAUAUAAGGCAGAGCAAAUUCUGGGAACGGUCUUUCAAUCGUGGCUCACCAUAGAAGAGGUAGACUAGUUUAUCUUCGUUUAAAAAAUCUAAAAUUUACAUUUCAAAUCUUGAAUAUCAACGAAUAUUAUUUAGAAUCGCACAGGAGAUUAAGAUACAUUUUAUAUUUCUGCUCAUUAUUAUUUGUUUUAAUAUUUGGGGUUUAUUAGAAAAGAACUUUGACCAGAUCUAAUAACCACCCGGCACUUCUGAAUAUUCAAAAUAAUGUUACGACUUUAAUAACAAAGGCUUUUGUACAAAUAGAUCAUGUACUUACAAACACGUUUGCAUCGAAUGCUUUGGUAACCACCCUUCAAUACACUGUUAUGCAAAUAAACAAACAGCGCAAUUCACACCGCGUUAUGUAUUUAUAUUGCCAGCUCAAAGAGUGCCUAUGGGACCUGGGGUUUUCACCAAUUAAUAUCUAGUUUCUCGCUGAUAAACUCUUUCAAUGCCCAAAUAAGGAUGAUGCCAAUUACAUUUUAUAAGGAUUCAGCACUGGUUUUAAACUCGAAUAUACGGGACCAAGAAUCCCUAUUUUUUUGUCCAAAAAUCUCAAAUCGGCAAUUGAUCAAAAAUGCUUAUUAAGUAAAAAGCUUCACGACGAAUUUAUACUUGGGCGAAUCCUAGGACCGUUCAAAAAAAGGCCAAUUACUAAUCUGAGAAUAAAUCCCGUAGGUCUCGUACCAAAACAAAACGGUGCUUUCAGCUUUCAUACCCACCAGGCAAAGUAUAAAUGAAUUUAUCGAUCCUGAAUUUUGCCAUGUUUAAUAUUCACAAUUCGAAAAUGCAGUAAGAAUAGUUCAAGAAAUAGGGGAUUCUGCUAUUAUGGCAAAAGCUGACAUUUCUUCUGCAUUUAAUUUAUGCCCUAUAUGGCCAGGUGAUUUUGAUUUAUUAGGUAUAAAAACCGAGGAGGGAUAUUGAAUUCAAAAAAUGCUGCCACAAGGCGCAUCAUGUUCAUGUUUUAUUUUUGAAAAUGUUUCAAAGUUUUUUACAAUGGCUUGUGUCUAAAGAAUCAAAAUCAUACUACAUUGACCACCUACAGUACUAGAUGAUUUUUUUAUGGCAGAAAAAUCUUUUGAAAAAUCAUAAAUGCUUGAAUUUAAUGCGAACAUUUGAUAAAAUUUGCAAUGAACUUGGUGUCCCCCUAAGUGUCGAAAAAUGAAUGGGACCUGUUAUAACUAUAACAUACCUGGGUCUAGAAAUUGAUUCAAUCAACCAAAUGGUUAAGGUGCCUUUAGAAAAAAUAAGGAAAGCGAAAACAGUCUCGUUUGGGUGAGAAACACUAAUAAGAUUAGACUCAAACACUUACUUGUAAUCAGUCGUUGGUCUAUUUAAUUUUAUAUCGAAAGCUAUUCCCAGUGGCCGUGCCUUUAAAAGACGUUUUUAUGGCGCCAUGUCGUAUGUAAAGAAACCGUUCCAUUUUAUUAGUCAACCAAGGCAUGAAAGAAGAUGCACAUAUUUGGCUAACAUUUUUUUUGAAAAAUUCAAUGGUUAUGUUAUGUUUAAAAAAAAAAAAAUUAAAAAAAAUGGGUAGAUAAGUAAGAUAACAGCCAUUUAGAACUAUAUAUUACGGAAUAUAUUGCAUACAUGUCUUUACGUCAAUACUCAUUUUCAACAGUAGCUGUUCACGUUUCAACAAUAAGUUAUUUUAAUAAAAUAAACAAUUUGGUUGACAAUACAAAACAAUUCAUAGUCAAUACUAUGCUAGAAGGGUUCCGUAGAUUAUCGAAAAGGCAUGACACAAGACACCCGAUAACACAAAAUGUACUGAUACAGCUUUUAUCAGCCCUACCUAACCCUUACAGAUCACAAUAUGAGUGUUUAAUGUUUUCUGAUGCUUUCUGUCUUGCCUACAUAGGUCUGUUAAGAAUAAGCGAAAUUGCAUUGCCUUAAAAGAAAUCAAAAAAGGUUGUUUUUAAAUGUAGAUGAUGUAACGAUCAAUCAAAAUCUCAUUAGACUCUAUUUUAGAUGUCCAAAAACGACCAGAGAUAUGUCGGAUGUUCUAUUGACAUUCCGAUAACUGACCAAAAUCUGUUAUGAAAAACUGAAAGAGUUCUUACAUUUUAGAAGUAACGUGCAAGGGCCGUUAUUCUGCUAUUUCGAUGGAAGUCCCUUAACAUCCUUUCAAUUCAAUUCAGUAUUAAAAAGAACUUUGAACUCGAUAGGUCAGAAAAAAAAAAACAAUAAAAAAAAAAUAAAGCACACUCUUUUCGAAUCGGCGGGGCUUCUAAUAUGUUCCGUGAGGUUUGUGCUAUCAAUGAUAUAAAAUACAGAGUCCGUUGGCGAUCUUACGCUUAUAAAUCCUACAUCCGAUAAUUUUAUAGUAUUUCAUGGAAAAAACUUAUUUUUUUAGGAUCUGCCAAAAUGGCUGUAAUGUGAAUGCCGGCGAUCCGAAAUUUGGCUAUUUAAAUAAAGAACGUAUUUGUAUUAAGAAACCGUUACCGGGUCUUAAUACACAUUAAUGUAUUAAGAAGAGCAAUUUAUGCUGUUGUAAUAAAAAGAUGUUAUAUAUAUAUUGGCAUUAUGUGCCUGGCAUUAUGUGCCUGAUAUUGUUUUUUGAAUGUGUUGAUGUAUAACAAGCAGUUGGCAUUAUGUGCCUGACAUUAUGUGUCUUUUAUAAUUUAUAACACCCAGUUGGCAUUAUGUGCCUGACAUUAUGUGUCUUUUAUAAUUAUAACACCCAGUUGGCAUUAUGUGCCUGACACUAUGUGUCUUUAAUAAUCUAUAACACCCAGUUGGCAUUAUGUGCCUGAUAUUAUGUGUCUUUAAUAAUUUAUAACACCUGGUUGGCAUUAUGUGCCUGACAUGUGUUUUGAUAACAUUACUUGAUAAUUAUAUAUAUUAAAUGGAUAGGUAAUAUAUAAUCAAACUUAUUUCAGCCUGUAAAAUGUCGGAUGUUUGGAUUAUAGGCUCUUCAUUUAUUAGGGAUGCCUUUCAAACAGCAUGCCGCAGAAGUGAGGACAUAAAUUUCUAGGUUAUAAUGUUAUAUGGGAAUAUCAGGGGGGCAUGGAAGUUUCUGAUUUAAAACCUUCGAUAGAAUACUUGCUUGAGUUUAAAAAUGCGCCAAAAUUUUUGAUAUUACACUGUGGCGGGAACGAUUUAGGAAAUCGACCUUCAGUUGAAAUCAUAUGGGACAUCAAAAACUUUAUAACAGGGACUUUAUGGGAAAAUAUGCCUGUUACGAAAAUAAUUUGGUCUCAGAUAUUACCAAGAAGGUCAUGGAGAUAUGUCCAAUGUAACAAAACUGCAAAUAAAACCCGCAUGCGUAUAAAUAGUUGUAUCAGUGCAUUUGUUAUUAAACUCGGGGGUUAUUAUAUUCGUUACCCUGAUUGACCUUUUCGAGGACCUAGCUGGGCGCCGUUUUCCGGUACGUUGCCGUUUUAGCUCUGGGGAAUUACACCAAAUGAAGUACAUAACACAGUUACGAGAUAUUUCUAUUUUGCUAUCAUUAUUUAACCGUUUAAGGUGAAAAAAAAUUGAUCUUUUUAAAAAUUAUCAAUAUUCGUUUAAUAUCUAUUGCAAAUUAUUAAAAAAAAAAAAAAGAAGUUUAUAAUGAAAAUCAAUAAAAUUCAAACAGACGUAGUGGAAUCUUCCAUAAUAAAUAAGGUUAUUUUCUGCGUAAACUUGUGUAUUUACUUUAUUUUUUGUAUGGAAUUAUUCAUACAAUAAUAUUUAAUUAUUUUCUUAUAAAGAAAUAACUGUUUUAUUUCAAUUAAAAAAAAAAAAAAAAAAAAAAAAAAAAAAAAGGCCGAAAACAUUGAGUUCGCUAUUACACUUCAUUGGGUGAAUUCCCCGGGGCUGUGUACGGGGAGUGCCGGGGAGCGGCGUUUGGCUGGGUUUUCGAAUUCGUGAAUAUUACAGAAAACCCUAGGUUGUAUAGGCCGGAUGGCACACAUCUGUCGGACUUUGGUAACCACGUUUUAUUGAAUACAAUAUCGGGCGCUCUCAACACAUUCACGUCCAUGGCUGGGUAGGGCAAAAUUGUAGCUGUGGUAGCCCGCUUUGGCGGAAGCCCACAGUCAAAUGUUUCACUUUGCUUGUGGGCUUUUUGGCAUGUGCUACCACGUUUUUGCAACCGUUGCCGGGGCAAAAACAGUUAUAGUAAAGACAUUUAGUAGUCUUAAAUCGAAACACAUAGACAUUUCAAUAGGUUAAAUUAUUAAAAUGCUUUUAUCCAGCCAUGGCCAUUUUCAUGCCAACACGUUUUUGUUAAUAAAUACUAGUAAGUUUUUUAGACUGAUUUCUCUUUUCUUUUAUUCCCAAGUUGUAAUGUUUGAAUAAUAUUCGAUUUAUCCGCUAGAGGAUUAAAUCUUUUAUUCAAAUCUUACAACUUAACAUUUUUUAUUAUAACACCCCAGUAGGGCCUCAAAAAGAGUUGUCAGGGGAGACAACUUACACUUGAAUAUGUCAUAUAUAAGGCAGAGCAAAUUCUGGGAACGGUCUUUCAAUCGUGGCUCACCAUAGAAGAGGUAGACUAGUUUAUCUUCGUUUAAAAAAUCUAAAAUUUACAUUUCAAAUCUUGAAUCCCACCACAAACCCACCCGUUCAAUUUCAUUGUUUUUCCUUGUUUUUGCUUUCUUCCCUUUAUAUUUUCAGAUAACACUAUAUUAGCACGUCAUGGCUGGAACAGAAAGAUAUAGAAAAAGGAGAAUGCUUAUAAUUCUCAGCGACCGUUAUCGGAGCUGAUCAAUUUGUAAAACAGACAUGUAAAGUGAUUUCAUCAUCUGUACCUGUGUACCUUGAGUUGAAGCAUGUGCUACCACGUUUUUGCAACCGUUGCCGGGGCAAAAACAGUUAUAGUAAAGACAUUUAGUAGUCUUAAAUCGAAACACAUAGACAUUUCAAUAGGUUAAAUUAUUAAAAUGCUUUUAUCCAGCCAUGGCCAUUUUCAUGCCAACACGUUUUUGUUAAUAAAUACUAGUAAGUUUUUUA